rnacentral:rRNA from 1 species
UACGUAGGGGGCAAGCGUUGUCCGGAAUCAUUGGGCGUAAAGAGCGUGUAGGCGGCCAGAAAAGUCCGCUGUGAAAACUCGAGGCUCAACUUCGAGCUGUCGGUGGAAACUUUCUGGCUAGAGUCCGGAAGAGGAGAAUGGAAUUCCUGGUGUAGCGGUGAAAUGCGCAGAUAUCUGGAGGAACACCGGUGGCGAAGGCGGCAUCCUGGACCGGCAUUGACGCUGAGGCGCGAAAGCUAGGGGAGCAAACGGGG